AUACGUAGGGUGCAAGCGUUAAUCGGAAUUACUGGGCGUAAAGCGUGCGCAGGCGGUUAUAUAAGACAGAUGUGAAAUCCCCGGGCUCAACCUGGGAACUGCAUUUGUGACUGUAUAGCUAGAGUACGGUAGAGGGGGAUGGAAUUCCGCGUGUAGCAGUGAAAUGCGUAGAUAUGCGGAGGAACACCGAUGGCGAAGGCAAUCCCCUGGACCUGUACUGACGCUCAUGCACGAAAGCGUGGGGAGCAAACGGGAUUAGAAACCCUAGUAGUCC
rnacentral:rRNA from 1 species